CAGUCGCCGCGGGAAAACGAAGGGUGCAAGCGUUACUCGGAAUUACUGGGCGUAAAGCGUGCGUAGGUGGUGGUUUAAGUCCGUUGUGAAAGCCCUGGGCUCAACCUGGGAAUUGCAGUGGAUACUGGGUCACUAGAGUGUGGCAGAGGAUAGUGGAAUUUCCGGUGUAGCAGUGAAAUGCGUAGAGAUCGGAAGGAACAUCUGUGGCGAAGGCGACUAUCUGGGCCAACACUGACACUGAGGCACGAAAGCGUGGGGAGCAAACAGGAUUAGAUACCCCCGUAGUCCCUGUCUCUUAUAC
rnacentral:rRNA from 1 species